rfam:Pteropus alecto contig45057, whole genome shotgun sequence.
GUCUAUGGCCAUGCCACCCUGAACAAGCCUUAUCCCGUCUGAUCUCGGAAGCUAAGAAGGGUCGGGCCUGGUUAGUACUUGGAUGGGAGACCGCCUAGGAAGACCAGGUGCUGUAGGCA